UUGGUAGCCAAAUGGCUAGAGCAUCCGACUUCCAAUCCAAAGGUGUGAGUUCGAAUCCCACCUGA
rfam:Culex pipiens quinquefasciatus supercont3.276 genomic scaffold, whole genome shotgun sequence.